GACGAACGCUGGCGGCAUGCCUAACACAUGCAAGUCGAACGAGAUCUUCGGGUCUAGUGGCGCACGGGUGCGUAACGCGUGGGAAUCUGCCCUUUGGUUCGGAAUAACAGUUGGAAACGACUGCUAGUACCGGAUGAUGACGAAAGUCCAAAGAUUUAUCGCCAGAGGAUGAGCCCGCGUAGGAUUAGCUAGUUGGUGUGGUAAAGGCGCACCAAGGCGACGAUCCUUAGCUGGUCUGAGAGGAUGAUCAGCCACACUGGGACUGAGACACGGCCCAGACUCCUACGGGAGGCAGCAGUGGGGAAUAUUGGACAAUGGGCGAAAGCCUGAUCCAGCAAUGCCGCGUGAGUGAUGAAGGCCUUAGGGUUGUAAAGCUCUUUUACCCGGGAUGAUAAUGACAGUACCGGGAGAAUAAGCUCCGGCUAACUCCGUGCCAGCCGCCGCCGUAAAAC
rnacentral:rRNA from 1 species